GACGUGAGGGCGCGAGCGUUGUCCGGAUUUAUUGGGCGUAAAGAGCUCGUAGGCGGUCCGUCACGUCGGGAGUGAAAACUCGGAGCUCAACUCCGAGCCUGCUUCCGAUACGGGCAGACUAGGAGGUAGGCAGGGGAGAGCGGAACUCCUGGUGUAGCGGUGAAAUGCGCCAGAUAGUCGGGAAGAACACCCAUGGCGGAAGGCAGCUCUCUGGGACGGUACUGACGCUGAGACGCGAAAGCGUGGGGAGCGACAGG
rnacentral:rRNA from 1 species